AGUGGCGCACGGGUGAGUAACACGUAGGUAAUGUGCCUUUGGGUGGGGAAUAACUUAGGGAAACUUAAGCUAAUACCGCAUAAUGCAGCGGCUCGACAUCGAGACAGUUGUUAAAGAUUUAUCGCCUAAAGAGCAGCCUGCGGCAGAUUAGCUAGUUGGUAAGGUAAUGGCUUACCAAGGCUACGAUCUGUAACCGACCUGAGAGGGUGGUCGGUCACACUGACACUGAAUAACGGGUCAGACUCCUACGGGAGGCAGCAGUCGGGAAUUUUGGGCAAUGGGCGAAAGCCUGACCCAGCAACGCCGCGUGAAGGAUGAAGUAUUUCGGUAUGUAAACUUCGUAAGAAUAGGAAGAAUAAAUGACGGUACUAUUUGUAAGGUCCGGCUAACUACGUGCCAGCAGCCGCGGUGAUACGUAGGGACCAAGCGUUGUUCGGAUUUACUGGGCGUAAAGGGCGCGUAGGCGGCGUGGUAAGUCAGCUGUGAAAUCUCCGAGCUUAACUCGGGACGGUCAGCUGAUACUGCUGUGCUAGAGUACAGAAAGGGCAAUCGGAAUUCUUGGUGUAGCGGUGAAAUGCGUAGAUAUCAAGAGGAACACCUGAGGCGAAGGCGGGUUGCUAGGCUGAUACUGACGCUGAGGCGCGAAAGCUAGGGUAGCAAACGGGAUUAGAUACCCCGGUAGUCCUAGCCCUAAACGAUG
rnacentral:rRNA from 1 species